rnacentral:tRNA from 1 species
GCGGGUGUAAUUCAGUGGUAGAAUGCCAGCUUCCCAAGCUGGACGUCGGGAGUUCGAAUCUCCUCACCCGCU